AGAGACAGCAGUAGCCGCGGUAAUACAGAGGGUGCAAGCGUUAAUCGGAAUUACUGGGCGUAAAGCGCGCGUAGGUGGUUUGUUAAGUUGGAUGUGAAAGCCCCGGGCUCAACCUGGGAACUGCAUCCAAAACUGGCAAGCUAGAGUACGGUAGAGGGUGGUGGAAUUUCCUGUGUAGCGGUGAAAUGCGUAGAUAUAGGAAGGAACACCAGUGGCGAAGGCGACCACCUGGACUGAUACUGACACUGAGGUGCGAAAGCGUGGGGAGCAAACAGGAUUAGAGACCCCUGUAGUCCCUGUCUCUUAUAC
rnacentral:rRNA from 1 species